rnacentral:rRNA from 1 species
CAAUAGCGUAUAUUAAAGUUGUUGCAGUUAAAAAGCUCGUAGUUGGAUUUCUGGUCGGAAGCUCCUGUCCUCUGAUGAGCGUACAAGUGCGUCCUACCAUCCUUCUGUUAACCUUUAAGGCUUUCGCGGCUUUCUAGGGGCUCAGAUAUUUUACCUUGAGAAAAUUAGAGUGUUUCAGGCAGGCUAGCGCCGGAAUACAUUAGCAUGGAAUAAUGGAAUAGGACUUUUGCCUCUUCUGUUGGUCAUGAGGCUCGAGUAAUGAUUAAUAGGGAUAGUUGGGGGCAUUAGUACUUAACUGUCAGAGGUGAAAUUCUCGGAUUUGUUAAAGACUAACUUAUGCGAAAGCAUUUGCCAAGAAUGUUUUCAUUAA